ensembl:lncRNA
UUUCCUGUUGUUGGGAUCCACCUUUCUCUCGACAGCACGACACUGCCUUCAUUACUUCAGUUGAAAUCGUCUCCAGGUACCUGUGCGCGCGGGGGCCGGGCCGUGCCGGGCGGGGCAUCCAGGCCCUGGUCGCGCCUGGCCUGCGGUGGCAACCUCGGCUUAUCUCGCGCAGGAGCCUCGACCCUGCCUCGUUCUCAGCUCUCUGCCAGACUGCUGGCCUCACCCCCCAUCUCCACCUGGCCAGGAGCAGGUACGGUCAGGUUAGCUGCUCCAUCGGACGCCAGGGGCGUGGUAGGAAUUCUGGGCCGCGGGCCAUUCAAGGUCAGGGGCGCACGCUUCCAUCCUGGGCCUCCCCGGCUCCAGGCCUCCGCCUGGCCAGGGACUCCGACAUUCUCUUGCAAGGCUGGGAUCCUGGCCUUGUCAAUUACCUUUCCCUCUGUAAGCCGCUCUCUACUCCCAAGAGUUGCCUUUGCCUCUUUUUCUUCCUUCCUUCUUUCCUUCUCGCCUUUCUUCCUCUUUUAUCUUUCUUGUUUUCUUAGCUCCUUUUUUUUCUCUUUCCUUUUCUUUAGUUUUCUUUCAUUUUCAGUCUGUGUCCGGGUUUUCUUCCUCUGCCACCUUUCAUUCCCCAACCACUCCUUUGGGAUGGACCCUGGAGACAUCAGGGCCUGCAGGGGGGAAACCUGGAGGGAUCUUACUUUUCUAUGCGUGCCCAGGUGGAGGUCAGAAUCUGCUGCGGAAGGGCUCAAGGGCCGCGGCUGUCGAGGGCUGCGGGUCUGGGCCUGGCCGAGCCGAGGCGCAGACAAGGCCUCGGUUACGAUCACGACCGUAUGGCGGCGGCCUGGCGUUCCUACUCCGCGGGUCGGCAACGGCAGCCUAAGAGAUCUGAUUAGGAGGCAUUCAGGGUUUUGUGUGUGUGUGUGUGCCUACUCCUCGGGCAAGGAGGCCAGGACCUGGACUGAGGCCCAGCCAGGUUCAGUGGAUCAUCACGCAGGAAACUCGGUGGGGAAGAUUUCUCGGCUCCGCAGGCCUACCAGUCCAGGCUCAGGCUUUAACCGCGAUAAGGGAGCCCCGCUAGGACAAAGAUUGGCUGCUUGCCUGCCGGUAGCUUAUAUUAGGUUCAGACUAUGUCAGAUAUGGCAUCCUUGUAAGGACAGAUGCUGGAGAAGGAAGCCUCUGGUGCCAGUCCGUUUCAACUAAUAGAGGAAAGGAAUUCUAAAUUCCACAACCCUUGGGAUACAAACUCGAGUCCAUGUUCCAAGUUGUAGGCCACCGUUGGAAGCCAGAGGGACCAUUUUCACUACCAGGAACUGAAAACAACUUCCACGCUUCCCUGUCCUCCAACACACUUGCCGGGCCUUCAGGCUCAAGCCCACGGAGCAGUGGUUUCCUUCCCAGCUCCAGCAGCCCAGGAAUUAUUUUCACUGCUCAGUCUGUGCUCCUGUUACCCGCAAGGCCAGUACACUUCCCCUGAAUUCCUCUCUGCCAUUUUCAGGACCUGAGUACUGGAUUUGUUUUGGAGGCCAAGGUUUUUGAACUCUGGGGCUAGAAAAUGCAGUUUUAAUUACACCCAUUUGUUAUUUUUUAUAGGCACACACAGCUCCUUUCACUUCUCCAAUAAGAGCAGACACAGGAGCCUGAAUAGUCUCUCUUCAAACAUGUGGACUGCAUAGGAAUAAUAUUUGGUUUUUUGAUACCCCUCUCUUCUAGGCACCAGUUUCAUACUCAAGGCCUGCUAAUUAUUUAGUAAUGAUGGUGUGUGUGUGGUGGGGGCGGUUAAAGCUAAACAAACAGCCUUUCGUUUUAAACUUACUGCUAAUAAUCCUUGUCUUCUCCGGUUACGGAAAAGUGGAAAUGCAACCUGGCGUGUCCAGCCCGUUUGCAUACAAUUACAAUUAGGAGCGAAGGUUUCCUCCGGGGUUAAUUUCUCUUAAUGAAAAUCUAAGAGGUCCGGUGAACUGCCAGAUAUCUGGGACACCUUGGGCUGCGGUGGGGGUGGGGAUGAGGCGGAGGGAUUUACAAGGGAAAGAAAAUAUUAGAAGGAGGGGGCUGAGGCGGCCGGCCGGCCACGUCGGAGUUCAUUGUGUCGGCCGCUUCCCUCUUCCGGCUCGACGAGGAAGGGGCACCCGGUUGUCUUCGUGCUGCUUCGCAGCCUCAUUCUCGGGGAGAACCUGGCAUUUGAGGGCUCCCGCCUGGGUUA